rnacentral:tRNA from 1 species
AUUAGUAUGGCAGAAUAUAUGCAACUGACUUAAGAUCAGUACAUAAUCUAUAUUUUAGAUUUGCUAACA